CUGUGGGACUUGGAGACGUAUUCCAAUGACUGUUUUAACCAAUGGGGAGUGAAACCACGGCCUCAUUGGAUGACUACCAUGUAUGGUGGCAAAAACAUCAGUUCACACUCCAACAUCAUUUUCAGGCUGUUUCCAUUGCUCUUGGAUACCAUCCAGAACACGAUCAGAAGAUAGCACAACAUCAGCACAACUGAGUCAUAGAACCUGGCAAAACCAAGCUGUAUGGACCUGGAAACUCCAUCCCUGCUGGCUAGCUUUCAUUGUGCUUGAAGGUGUUGAACAAGCUACUAGAGAAAGAAACAAAUCAUUACCAGUCAUCAAUCAUACAUACCCAGCUAUGAAACCUGUGAGCUACAAUACUGGUCACUCAAGAUAUGCCCAAUGGUGCACUAGUGGCACAAACAUUAUGGCAGUUAUCAGCCACUUUCUCAUUGGAUUUAAGACCAGCUCCACAAGGUGAAACCCAUACCCAGCAUCAUUAUCAGUGGAGAACAUAGUGUAGACAUGCCAUAGACCCU
rnacentral:lncRNA from 1 species